rnacentral:rRNA from 1 species
AUUGAACGCUGGCGGCAGGCCUAACACAUGCAAGUAGAACGAGUGGCGGACGGGUGAGUAAUGUCAGGGAAACUGCCUGAGGGAGGGGGAUAACUACUGGAAACGGUAGCUAAUACCGCAUACCAUCGGAUGUGCCCAGAUGGGAUUUGCUAGUAGGUGGGGUAAAGGCUAACCUAGGCGACGAUCCCUAGCUGGUCUGAGAGGAUGACCAGCCACACUGGAACCGAGACACGGUCCAGCCUCCUACGGGAGGCAGCAGUUGGGAAUAUUGCACAAUGGGCGCAAGCCUGAUGCAGCCAUGCCGCGUGUAUGAAGAAUGCCUUCGGGUUGUAAAGUACUUUCAGCGGAGAGGCGUUACCCGCAGACGAAGCACCGGCUAACUCCGUGCCAGCAGCCGCGGUAAUUC